GUAAAUGAGAAAUUACCAUUGGUAACUGGUGUCUCUCCAAAGUUUGUUUCUUUUUUCCACUGGAUUUGAGUACUUAAAGCAGGAAAGGAGAAAAAUGAUUACUAAAUUUAGAACAUGUAAAUAUCUCUUACUGGUACAGCCAUAAUUCAUGUUUUAUAAUGAUUUUGUGUCUAAACCCUAGGUUCUUAGGGUGGCAUGUAUAUGUGUCUUUUUUAAAGAAUUGGGUGCCAACCUCUAUCAUAAUAUAUUUGUUCAACCUAAUUGUUCUUCUCAAUGUAAAGGAAACAAAAAAAAUGCUCUGUGAUUUAGUAAGAACGUAGGUUUUAGAGAAUCCUGUAUAUUGGACUUGGGCUGUUUUGAUGUUCUUGUAAGGGGGUGGAGUGUGGUGGUAGCAGAUGUCCCAGAAACCUCAGUGAUCCUGCAGAAUUCAUGGCUUGCAUCUUGUCACCUUCUGUAUGCAAUAAGCUCCUGAUGCUUGGGUUUGGAGACUUCCAGUUACAGCUAGAAUUUGGAAAGUUUUUUUUUUUUUUUUUUAAUUUUCUUGAAGUAGAGUUGAUUUAAAAUAUUGUACUAAUUUCUGCUGUACAUCAUCAGAGUGACUCAGUUAUGUGUGUGUGUGUGUGUGUAUUCUUUUUUUUUUUUUUUUUCCCUGCCUUUUUUAGGGCAUAUGGAGGUUCCCAGGCUAGGGGUCAAAUCAGAGCUACAGCUAGCUGCUGGCCUACACCACGGCUCAGAGCAACGCCGGAUCCUUAACCCACUGAGAGAGGCCAGUUAUCAAACCUAUAUCCUCAUGGAUGCUAGUCAGAUUUGUUUCCACUGAGCCCUAGCGGGAACUCCCUCUUUUUCAUAUUAUUUUCCAUUAUGGUUUAACACAGGAUAUUGGAUAUAAUUCUUUGUGCUGUGCAGUAAGACCUUCUUGCUUAUCUAGAUUUUAGUAGUUUUGGAACAUCUUUAUUCUCUUAAACUAUGUGAGCUGCUUUCAUUCUUUUUAAUUAAUGAGAGACUGGGUUAUACUGUGGUUAUUUAAUGAGUGUGUAUGUUUUCUUCAUAAUGCAUUGAUUGUCAUGUCUAUAGCUCCAAAGAGCAUGCAUGAUUUUCAUAUUAAAUCAUGAUAGUCCAUUGAGGUGACCUUUUCUGGAGAACCCGAUCCCUGUAGCCCAGACAUCCUGACCCGAAGUCCAGCCUGUGGCAGGGUUUCCGGGGUUUUUCUCUGCCUCCUAGCCAUGGGGAAAGGGCCAUCUGUAGGACCAGGGGAGCAGGACCACACCAAACUUGAGUUCUCUCUACUCUGAUCUAUUGGCUGUUUGUCUAACCUGGCCUGGGCCUCUGUUUUCUCAUUUUACACCGAGCGAGUCUGUGGAAUGGAUUGCACAGGAACAUAGUGACAGCUUACUGCUGGGUAAGUAAGCUGUAAGCUGGCUGGGCAGUCUCAGGGAGCCUCUGUCCUUUCUCCCCAUCACAUGCUGUUCAAAUUAAAGUAUAAUUUUAGUAUCAUUCACAGAAGAUUGUCCCUGGACAUUUCUUUUUCUCCUACUUGUCUUUGGAAUAUUUAUCUUUUUCUUUUGAUAGUUUCCUCUAAUUUGGUAUUACCCAUAGUCUGAUGAAGCAUUAUUUUCAUUUUUCUUUUUUCUCACUGCCAGUUUAUGAGAAACUUGGGGGCUUUUCUGGAAGAAGCUCUGACAUUCCCAGAUCAGAGAAGACUUUUUGAGCAUUGACUGAAGGGAGACUGCCAGAUCUUAUCUCCAUUCCAGCUCAUGUCCUGAGUGUGAUGGCCUGUUCUGAAAGUUUUACGAUAUUUAGAGAAUUUACAAAAAUUGGGUACCCAGAACAUGAGCUAGCUGGAUUGAUUAUUUAGCAAGCAAAUAAAUGCACUAUUAGAAAAACUGGUCCAGCCAGCAAGAAUAAUUCCCAGAGACCCUGGAAGCUUUCAUACAAUCAAAUAUUUAUAAACUAACAGCUCAAGGACAAAACUUCCUGUGCCAUGCCACCUGCUGAAAGUAAAAGACUCACAUAUUCUUGACAGUCUUUUUUCAUUUUAGAAAUUGUCCCCUUUAGGAUACAUUCUAACCUGCUUGGGCAUUUAGUAACAUUUAGUUGUGAUACAUAUGGAGCCUAAUGUUUGUUUCUUGGCGGUGGGGGGAUCUAUACUUCUUAGUAGGAAUGUAGGGGGGGAUGAUUCUGGAUCUUUAAACAUGAGUUAUAAUUGAUUAGCUUACAUUUCCAACUUUCUUCUUCCUCUCUCUUCAGAGAUGUUCUGAGCUGAAUUGCAAUUAAGACUGGGCAUACCUGGGCAGAUUAAAAUAAGCAGGAAUCUUUCCAUCUUGGGUCAGAAUAGCUUGGCCACAGUAACUAAAGGGAUGAUUGAUUAAUUGGUUAACUUAUUCCCAGCUUUGUUUCAGAAAACAAAGACUUGGAGAAGCAGAGUGUUUGAAAUCGUUGAGGAAAAAAAUAAAACAUAAGCCUUAGGGAAGGGAGGCUAAAGAUCAGGCUCAUUUAAAGUGUUUAUUCCUAGGGCCUGUGAUUUUUUUUUUUUUCCUUUAAAAAUGUCUUUUUGAUUUAGCCCUUGUUCUGUUCCCACUGGUUGCCAGGUCAUUUUGCUGCACAAGCGGAUGUCUAAAACACGGUGGGAAUUGCCUCCUCAUGCUUUCCCAUCUGCCAUGCACACAGCUGCCCAUCUAGUUUUCCAGAAACACUACUCUCAUCACGUCACUUGCCUGACCAAGAGCAUCCCCCAGCUUUAUGGUGACUGCUGUUCGGAGAUGAAACAGCAGUUUCUGAUAUGUUCAUGAUUUCUCCAGUAACUGCCCCCAUGAACCCACUCCUCCAGGAAACCUCAGCCUCUUCCCUGUCUUCCUCCCUGGCAUUCCAGGUCCUGCCUCAACCUUUGCUUCGGCAUCCUCUGAAAUGCACCUCCUUCUCCUCUCAGUCCACCGGUCCCCUGCUCAUCUUCUGCAGUUUACCUUUUCAUUUCCCGCAACUGCUAGUUCCUGUUCUCUGGGCUCAUUUCUCCCAGCUCUUGUGGUUUUCCCCACCUGAUCCCUGCAUUUCCAUUAGAGGACAAGUAUUUUUGAGAGCCUGCACUGCACCGCAGCGUGCCAUGUCUUGGGAGGGCUCCACUGUGAGUGUGAAGGGAGCGGCUGCAGUUUCUUAGCACGAACUGUGGGUCAGGCGCGGCACCUUGUGUACAUCACUUCUGAUCUCCACGAGCACCCUGAGAGCUCAGUGGCCCUCUCCUUCUUUUAACAGAUGAGGCAACUGAAGCUAGUGGUGAUUAUGCUGUUCCUAGUAGAAUAGCCAGAACUCAAGGCAAGCUCUGUCUCCCACCAAAGCCUUGUCUUUAUAACCCCACUGCGGAAAUAAUUUCUGUCCUUUAAAGUGCUUACAAUCCAGUAGUGAAGACAAGUACAUGAAUAUCGCUUUUCUGCCUUUCUCCCUAACUAAAUUGCAGUAUCUUCCAUUGGACUAGGGCGUAAGACAUUUGCAUGUCAUUUGAGGUGUUUGAUCUUGGGAGUGAUGUGGACCUAGCCGAACAUAAAAAAGAAUAAUUCAGCGGCUGAAUUAUACUGAGUAUAUGGAGUAGAAAAGGGAGGGUUGGGAGGCAAAGAGACUACACGAAUCAUGGAACAGAGAGGCGUGGAGGGAAAAAUCAGUUUUGCUUGGCCGUGUGGUUGAGUUCUAGGCAGCAGUAUUAUCAACUUGAGGAUGUCCAUAAGAAGCUGCAAACAGCUGAAUUGAGUCAUACAAUGUGAAUUGUCCCAGCUGGAUUAAAGACAGGAGCCAUGUGUUCAUAAGUACUUGAGAGCCCAUCUCCUGAUGAAUGGGUAAACAAAAUGUGGGUAUCGUCCAAUGGAAUGUUCUUUAGCCAUCAAAUGAAAUGAAGUACUGAUACAAGCCACAGCACGAUGGACCUUGAAAACAUGAUGCUGAGUGAAGAAACCGGUUACAAAGAACCUCAUAUCGCAUGAUUCAUUUUUAUGAAGGGCCUAGAAUAGGUAAAUCCAUAGAGACUGAAAGCAGAUUACUGGUUGCCAAAGCUGAAGAGAGAGAACAAUGCUUAGGGUAUGGAGUGAUUAAAAUAUUCUGAAACUAAUUGUGGUGAUAAAAAUGUUCUGGAAUGAAAUGGUGAUAGUUACACAGCCUUGCAAAUACACUAAAAACCAUUGAAUUGCACCCUUUAAAAGGGCGUGUUUUGUGGCAUGUGAAUUAGAUCUUUUUUAAAAAAUGGAAGAGGACUUCCCUGGUGGCUCAUCGGGUUCAGGAUCUGACAUUGUCCCUGCUUUGGUGCUGGUUAGAUCCCUGGCCCGGGAACUUCUGCAUGGCACAGGUAUGGCAAAAAAAAAAAGAGGAAGAACAAAAGCACCUGGGAGAUGAACUACUCUGUCCCACACCAAGUGCUUCACUGCCUUUAUCCAUCCUCCACUCAUGCUGGAGAUGUUCAGACAUCUCCUGUGACAGAGCUUACUCUUUCACACAGUAACUCAUUCCAUAUUUUCGGACUUCUAACAGGUAGAUGUGGCAUAGGGGAUAAGGAACAUGGACUUUGGACACCGGAAGUCCUGGCUCUGCCACUUACUAACCUGUGUGACAUUGGGCAAGUUAGUUAACGUCACUAAGGCUCAAUUUCAUCAUCUGCAAAAUGGGGAAAAUAACAUUACCUAACUCACAGGAUCGCAAAUAAUGAAAAUGAAACAAUGCAUGUAAAAUGUUUGGUGCCCUCUGCAGAGUCAGCACUCAACUGAUAACAGUUUUUUUGGUUGUUGUUAUUUUUCCCCUGCUCUUUACUACAGCUCAGAAUACUUAGGAAGAGCUCAAUUACUGCACUUGAUGAUUGGGUUGUCCAGUAGCCCCCAAAGUUCAAGAACACAGGACAAUGACGUGGGAGUAAGCUGUGAAAAUGAAGGGUUUGUUGGUGGUUUUGUAAUUUAAGAUCUUGCUAGGACCUGCUGAUGCUUUUACUGUCGAUGAGGUUGAUUUGCUGGAAGUUUUGUUUUUCCCUUCCUGAGGCACAAUGCGGCCAGAGAUCUGAGGUGCUUUUGGAUCUCAACUGCUGCACGGGUGACUAGCAAGAUUUCAGAAGAGCUUGUAUUUAAUUCUCCCCCAAAGAUCCAAUAGCACUAAGAGAGUUGAGAGCUGUCUUAGCAUAAGGCAGCUGACCCAAACCUUCCUAAUAUCCCUACAUUUUUUGGCAUAUAAAAGAUACAGAAAGAUAUACAGGAAGAUAGUUGGUAAAGUGUGAAAGUGUGGAGUUGUUUCCUAGAUUUUUUUUUUGCUUUUUAGGGCCACACCGUGGCAUAUGGAGGUUCCUAGGCCUAGGAGUCAAAUUGGAGCUGUAGCUGCCAGCCUACACCAGAGCCACAGCAACGCCAGAUCUGAGCUGAGUCUGUGACCUAUACCACAGCUCUUGGCAACACCGGAUCCUUAACCCAAUGAGCAAGGCCAGGGAUUGAACCCAUAUCCUCAUGGAUCCUAGACGCAUUCGUUAAUUGCUGAGCCACGAUAGGAACUCCUGUUUCCUAGAUUCUUUAUCUAACCCCAGCCUUCUUAUUUCUGUUUUGGCCAAGGUCAGACAAGUACUAUGAAGUGCUGUGGCACCAAAAUCCUAGACAGGAGAGAGUUUAUGCAGGUUCCAUCAUCUGGAAGAUUUGGUAACCUUUUACAAGGCAUUAGUUGUAUUACGUGUCUACUGCAGUCCUGGUGUUAGCUGAAGAUGUUUGGGUAAUCUCUUGCAUUGCUUCAUAAAACACUAUAAUAAACCCAAUAGUAGCAGCUUUCAAUCGCUUUGCACCAAAAGAACAUUCUUCUCACCUCUGAUUCCCUCUGCUUCCUACUCCUCAUCCCUACCCUCAUCCUCCCCACCCCUCUCUGGGCCACUGGAACAGCAAAUCCCCAGUGUUACUUGCAGAGGAAUAGAACAACCUAAAUCUCACCACCUGCUUUUUUAACUGGUUUGUUUGUUUCCAGAUGUCAGGAGUGUGACGUAUUGCUGCUAAUCAAUGUUUUAACCUUCCUAUUGAUAUUUAUUCAGCUCUGUUGAAUAUACUCCAUUAAACUGAAUUCCAUGGAUGGGAGAGUAAAUCUGAAUUUCUCUCUGUUCUCUGGAGACAUCAUAAUAUUUCCUAUUAUCUGAGGUUAUUGUUUUGCUAGGAUAUUAAUGAGCAGUUUCCCUGCUGGAGUUAUCAUUGCUUCUUCCUUCCUUCAGCCCCCCAAACAAACAGUUUUGAAUUAACAUGGAAACCAAGCUUAAUUUCUUGACUCAUCUCCUCUGGUUUUGAAUCUCUUUCAGCGUUUCAUGCCAUUGUAGAUAAUUUGACGCUCCCAUCUGUCCAUUUCCUUCUGACCCUGCUACUGAUAAUGUGAUUAAACCCUCCACUCUGUUGCUUCUCAUUUACUCCUCAGUUAUUUCUGAUCAUGUGUGCUGUAUUUUCUUUAUUUAGAUCCAAGGUAUAAUUAGGGAAGAGGGCCUGAACAAAAGAGCCUGCCUUUUCUUUCUCUCACCCUGGCGUUGGGUGGAAAAUGCUGUCCAGCAUGUCCAGUGGGAUACCAACUGGUCUUUGUCUUUUGUAACAGCUGAGGGAAGGUGCUGAUGGGCUCGAAUCCAGAUGUGUGAUGGCAGCUUGUUUACCUUACUUUGUGCUUAAGGAGAUCUUUCAGAUACUGUUACUUUGAAGCACUGCUUCUAUUUUUACUAUCUAACAUUUAUUAAAUGUCAACCAUAUGCUCUGUUAAACACAAAGAAUAGCAUGGUUCUGUCUGGAUUAAGAAUCUAGAAUGCAUGUGAUUUUAGUUUUAGCCCUAGUGAC
rnacentral:lncRNA from 1 species